CCCUUAGAUGUUCUGGGCCGCACGCGCGCUGCACUGAUGAAUUCAACGAGCACUAACCUGUGCAGAAAUGUUCGGGUAAUCUUGUGAAAUUUCAUCGUGAUGGGGAUUGAUUAUUGCAAUUAUUAAUCAUAAACGAGGAAUGCCUAGUAAGCGUGAGUCAUCAGCUCACGUUGAUUACGUCCCUGCCCUUUGUACACACCGCCCGUCGCUCCUACCGAUUGAAUGUGCUGGUGAAAAGUUCGGAUUGGGAAUAGGAGACGGCAACGUAUCCUGUUUCUGAGAAAAUCUUUAAACCCUCCCAUUUAGAGGAAGGAGAAGUCGUAACA
rnacentral:rRNA from 1 species